UGAUUUUAGUGGGGAAGUUCCUAUAAAGAUAGAAAAAUAAAGUCAAGUAGCCAUAUUCAUACUAGUUGUGGAAAUGGAUUGUGUUCAAUUUAUAGUAAAAGCAUUUUGUUCUGCUAUAGCGAUUAUUCUAUUGUUGUGUCUAUGGAGAGUUCUGAAUUGGAUUUGGUUCAGACCGAAGAAAUUGGAGAAGUUACUGAAAGAACAAGGUGUGAAGGGCAAUUCGUACUCGAUAUUGUAUGGGGACACAAAAGAACUUUCUCUGAGGAUUAAAGAAGUUACAUCCAAAUCCAUGAGUCUUUACGAUGAUGAUAUAGCACAAAGAUCGAUGCCUUUCUUUCUUGACACCAUCAACAAAUAUGGGAAGAAAUCAUUUAUAUGGUUGGGUCCAAAACCACUGGUGUUCAUCAUGGAUCCUGACCUUAUAAAGGAAGUAUUCACAAAAACAUACAUUUAUCAAAAGACGAAAACAAAUCCGUUAACCAAGUUACUUGCACAAGGACUAGUAAGAGAGGAGGGAGACAAAUGGGCUAAACAUAGAAAAAUCAUCAAUCCCGCCUUCCAUCUAGAGAAGCUUAAGCAUAUGCUUCCAGCUUUUUGUUUGAGCUGUACUGAGAUGCUGAGCAAAUGGGAAGACAUUGUUUCGGUUGAGAGAUCACACGAGAUAGAUGUAUGGCCUCACCUUCAACAAUUGACUAGUGAUGUGAUCUCUCGAACAGCUUUUGGCAGUAGCUAUGAAGAAGGUAGAAGAAUAUUUGAACUUCAAACAGAACAAGCUCAGUAUUUCAUUGUUAUAUCCCAGGGUGGAGUUUUUUGCCAACAAAGAGGAAUCGAAGAAUGAAGGAAAUCGAAAAGCAUGUUCAGGCUACAAUUAGAGGUAUUAUUGAUAAAAGAGUGAAGGCAAUGAAAGGAGGAGAGGCGAAUAACGAGGAUCUACUUGGUAUAUUGCUCGAAUCAAAUUUUAAAGAAAUCGAACAGCAUGGAGACAAGGAUUUUGGACUUAGCAUUGAAGAAGUCAUUGAAGAAUGCAAGUUGUUCUAUUUUGCUGGACAAGAAACUACAUCGGCGUUGCUUGUAUGGACUCUAAUUUUGUUGUGCAGGCAUCAUGAUUGGCAGACACGGGCAAGAGAAGAGGUGUUGCAAGUGUUUGGGAAUCGGAAACCAGAUUUUGAUGGACUGAAUCAUCUAAAAGUUGUGACAAUGAUCUUGUACGAGUCAUUAAGGUUAUACCCUCCAGUAAUGACAGUUACACGCCGGCUUAAUGAAGACACUGUACUAGGAGAUAUGUCUCUACCAGCAGGUGUGCUACUCUCCUUACCAGCGGUCUUAUUACAUCACGAUGAAGAGAUAUGGGGUGAAGAUGCAAAGAAAUUCAAUCCAGAGAGAUUUAGAGAAGGUGUCUCAAGUGCAACGAAGGGUCAAGUCACUUUCUUCCCAUUUACAUGGGGUCCUAGAAUAUGCAUUGGACAAAACUUCGCCAUGUUAGAAGCAAAGAUGGUGUUGGCUAUGAUCCUACAACGUUUCUCGUUCGAUUUAUCUCCAUCUUAUGCUCAUGCUCCUCAUUCCGUUAUAACUACGCAACCCCAAUAUGGUGCUCCACUUAUUCUGCACAAAUAUAGUUUGUACUUGUAAGCAGUGUCUUGUUAUAUGUUUUAGAGUGUGUCCAAAUAUGGUUAAUAAAGGCUUGUAGAAUUGCCUAUUGUUUGUUUUAGAGUUUUAAGUGUGCAGACACUGUAUGAUAGUAUAUGGAGAAUCUACCACAUCCAAGUAAUUUACUUACGAGCAGUGGCGGAGCCAGAAAUUUUAUCAAGGGUGUCCAAGAAUAAUGGUGUGUGGCUGUCAAAAUAAAUAAAAAAUAU